rnacentral:lncRNA from 1 species
UACUGUACAGCACAAGGAACUCUAUUCAAUAUCCUGUGAUAAACCAUGAUGGAAAAGAAUAUAAAAAAGAUUAUGUGUGUAUCUGAAUCACUUUGUUGUACAGCAGAAAUAACACAACACUGUAAAUCCACAAUACUUCAAUUAAAAAAAAAGAAGAGGAGUUCCCAUUGUGGCUCAGUGGUUAAUGGAUCUGACUAGGAGCCAUGAGGUUGUGGGUUUGAGCCCUGGCCUUGCUCAGUGGGUGGAGGAUCUGGCGUUGCCUUGAGCUGUGGUGUAGGUCACAGACAUGGCUCAGAUUCCACAUUGCUGUGGCUGUGGCAUGGGCUGGCGGCUGAAGCUCUGAUUGGACCCCUAGCCUGGUUACCUCUAUAUGCCACAGGUGUGGCCCUAGAAAAGACAAAAAAAAAAAAAAGAGGAAGAAGAACUUGCCCAGGAGGAGACCAAGAUCUGCACUCCUGGUGGAGUGACAGGGGAGAGCAGUUCCCAAAGACAUUGUUUGAGAUGCCAGCACACCUUUGAUUCUGAGAGUAAUCAAAGAGUCCUCUCCUUCCCUCUGUUACCUGGGCCACUAUACACCCAUUAGGAUGGCUAAAUAAAAAGUACUGACAAUACCAAGUGUGGACAAGGAUGCAGAGCAACUGAAGAUCUCAUACACUGCUUGUAGGAAUGCAAAAUGGUGGAGACACUCUUCAGCAGUUUCCUACCAAGUUCUUACCAUAUGACCCAGCAAUCCUAUAUUCCUGGGCAUGUAUCCUAGACAAGUGAAAACUUAUGUACACACACACAUACACACACACACACAAACAGAUUAUACACAAAUGCUUUUUGCAGCUCUAUUCAUGGUCACCAAAAGCUGGAAAUGAUCUAAAUACCCUUUGUGGGAGAAUAGAUAAACACACUGUGGCAUAUCCAUACAAUGAUGUAAUACACAGCAAUAAAAAAGGAAACAACAAUUGAUGCAUGCAACAAAUUGGAUGAACUGCAAAGGCAUUACGCUAAGUGAAAGCAAUCUUGUAAGUUACAUAGAAUGACAGAUGACAUUCUAGAAAACAUAAAACGGAUGUUAAAGAGAUCAGUGGUCACCAGGGGUUAGGGGUUGGGGGAGGCUGUGACCAAACAGGGACGAACAAGAGUUUUUUAUGGUGAUAGAACUGUUCUGUAUCCUGAUUGUGGUGGUGGUUACAUGAAUGAAAAAAGUACACACAAAGAGGUAAACUUUAUCAUAUAAUAAUUUAAAAAAUAAAAUAAAAUUUAAAUGGGUUUUAAAGAGAGAGAGAAAAGAGCCAAGUUUGGAAUCAAUAAAAAAAAAUAAAAAUAAAAACACCCUCUACCCAUCUUUCUCUCUCCUUCCAAUUUCAUUUAUGGACUGUAAACUCUCUCCAGUGCCUCACUUUUCAUGCUUAGGAGGAAUGAUGUCAUUUUCUGGGGGUUAAAAAGUACAAGAAAUAGUAGGAAAGUAAAAUUUCAAAUGACAUUUGCAACGAUUGCUAGAUUUUUGAAUAUGGCAUUUUUUCUUUUGUCAAACUUCUGUGAGAAUCUCACCUUUAUUCCAACUUCUGAGUAUAGGCUAAGAAAAAGAAAUGUUAGGAAUGAAAGAAAAGUAAAAUCAAACAAAAAUUUUCAAAAGAUUUCAAUACAUCAUUUUCAGGGAAGAGAACAUUCCACAAAAUAGAUGUGUGAUGUAAUCUUUUACUGCCACCCCUCCAUUCCCAGAAAAAUGACAUAAUUACCAAAUAAUCGCCAUAUCAACUAUUGACUGUGGGACACUCCAGAUUCCUUUCCCAUGAACAAAUUACUGAGCAAAACAUGGUCUAGACAUAAACAAAAAUGCUUUAAGCAAUGGUGAACUUCUCCCAGUUAGCCCUCAUUUUUGAAAAGAGAGAAAAACAAGCUAAUUAACUAUUCUAAGCAAUUUACCUAAGAAGUCAUGCCACCAAAAAACUCUAGAAAAAUCGUUCCAGUCUUUAAAGGAGCAUCCAGAUAGACUGCCAAAAGGCCAUCGCAAGAAUGAACCUCCAGGAGUUCCUAUUGUAGCUCAAUGGGUUAAGGACCUGAUGUAGUCUCUUUGAGGAUGCAGCUUCAAUCCCUGGCCUUGCUCAGUGGGUUAAGGAUCCAGCAUUGCCACAAGCUGCUGCAUAGGCACAGAUGCAGCUUGGGUCUGGUGUGGCUGUGGCGAAGAGCCCAGCUGCAGCUCCAAUUCGACCCCUGGCCAAGGAAUUUCUAUAUGCUACAGAUUCAGCCAUAAAAAGGAAGAAAAAAAAAUAAAAAGAAUGGUCCUCAAGUGGCUGGGGACUCUGGCAGGACUGGUAGGGGAGGCCCCUGGGGUUUCCUUCCCUUAGUCUUGAAGCAGGUACCUAGGAAUGGGUUGGAGGAGGGGAGGUUGCACUGGCAACAAACAGGUAGCCAUGCCCCCCAGAACAAAGGCUGAGGGGGAGGGGCAUAAGGAUGGGGAAGCGGGAAACACAGAACUGGGAUAAGAGUGGCCAGUGAUGUUCCCUACCUCGGGGGGUCACCCACUCCACAUGGGUGUCAUCAACCCCAGCCGUCCUUCACUACAGAGAACUUGGGGCCUGGAAAAUCAUACCUCUGGGAACAUGCUCCUGCUGUAUAUUAUAGUCUCUGGAUGUUUUCAAAUCAAUUGCCAUUAGAAAGAAAAAAACCCACAUCUUCCAGUUGUAGCUGUUGGCAUCCUUCCAUCGAUCACAUCAUUGUCCAAGUGUGACAACCAUGCAGGUCUCUUGAUGACCAGGACAUCUCAAUUCUAAUUGCACUUAAGUUUCACCAGGGCCCAGGCUGCAGAGAUGGAUUGACGAAUAAGGCCCAGGCAGCAAUAUUUCUAACUCUCCAGUGGACUGUAAUGAUAAAAGCCGCUGACAACACCACAGACCUCGUACUGUUUGAUUUUUUUAGCAUAAUAUGGACAUGGCUCCAAUCCCUAACAUAUUUCUACUACAUUCUAAACACCUGUUGCCCACUUUUCCUAUAUUGGUGCUGUCUUCAUUAGGUAAGAUCUUUGGAUUACCUUUUUUUUUUUUUCCUCUAGGGCCACACUCACGGCACAUGGAAGUCCUGGACUAGGGGUAAAAGUGGAGCUGCAGCUGCUGGCUCGCGCCACAGCAACAGAACGCCAGAGCUGAGCCAUGUCUGUGACCUACACCACAGCUCACAGCGACACUGGGUCCUUAACCCACUGAGUGAGGCCAGGGAUCAGACCCGAAACCUCAUGGAUAAUAGUCAGGUUUGUUAUCACUGAGCCACAACGGGAACUCCCAGAUUACUUUUAAUGCACACAAAAUAAGGCUAUUGGACUUCCUAUUCUGUUAGACUUAGUAUUAACAGGUCUUUCUCUUAAGGCCUUGGAUUGUAAUAAAAUGCACAAAAAGGGUAAUAAUUUGUAUUUUCUAUGGGAGUUCAUUUAAUUGGUGAUUUCAACACAGGCUAUUUAGCUUUUAAUUAUGUCAUCCUGAAUUCUGAUCUUCUGCCUUCAGACAAAACAACAGGACCAUUUUCCUUCACUCAACUUUUAUAAAGUAGAUCAAAACCAGCUCUUUAAAUUGUGUGUUCCCUUCACAGGUAAUUUAAACAGCCUCUGUCAGUAAUGAAGUCCUAAUACAGCCCGGCAGUGAAUACCAAGGAUGAAGAUUCAAUCAAAUCAGAAAACACUUCUGCACUGCCCAAUUUCUUCCAAAAUUAAACAACCAAGAAAUGAUGUUGGGCUACACGAGGUCAUCAAGACACAACUGUUGUAAUUAUCAUUGGAAAGGCCUAAUAAAUGAGUAGAAAAUGAUCUUGCUUGCAAGAAUUAAUUAAAAUCUUGUUAAAAGACCAAACGGCAAUGCCUAUGAGCCCCUGCUAAGUACACAGAAUUAAUGGAGUUGCGCGAGGCACAUUAAAAGUAAGCAAAUUAUUAGUUACAAGCUGAGAUGCUUCAACAUUUAGCUUCUUGAAAGCUGAAGUAAAAAUAUAGCUCAAAAUUCUAAGAUAUGUCUUGUGCGUUAUAACUGCUUUAUUAGGAAAGCAUUCCAAUCUCUUAAGAUCUAAUUUCCUCAGUUGCAAGAAAUUGUUUCCAAGCAAAUUUUUGAAGCUAAAGCAGAGAACUGACAACUCUGCAUGUUAACAUAAAUGAGGGAAGAAAUGGACUCCACUGCAUCUUUUUCUAGAGAUUCUGUGUAGCCCUUGGAGAAAACUCAGGACCCAUAGGUUCCUUGUGGAAAGCUUCUCCAUUAAUUGGGCCUCCUGGAUGACCUCUGACCCCCAUCUUCCCUCCUGUCAUCCUCUCAACUGACAAAUGGCUCAUCUCCAAAGACCAACUCAUAUGCCAUCUCUUUUGAGGAUUUUCACCCCAAGUAUUUUCUGGCAGAAGGAAUCUGUGGCCCACUUGGUAGUUGUCUUGUUCCCUUUUGCAGAUAACCGUGUGAAUGCUCAGAGGGUAGGAUAUAUCCCACCCCAGGACCUACGCAGCACCUUCCCCAUCAGUAAGUGUUCAAACCUAUUUGACAAGCAAAUGGGAAUUUAAGGAAAUGUCCUCAAAGAGUCUCUCCUUUGGAGCCCCUGGAAAUGUGCUUAUUUUCCUUAACAAUUUACUGAAAAAUUUCUAAGUCAGUUCUUCCUAAUCAAGUCUGUGAGGACCAGGGAUGGCUGUUAGGGCAUCUGUAGAACCCUUGCAAUUGUGUAUAAAUUUAAUCUUUAUUCUAGUAUGUGGCUCCCCCACCCCACCACACACCCUGGAGAAUCUCUACAGCUCUUUUUGAGUCUUUAAGGUAACUGUAAUCCAAGAAUCAAUUUUAAAAAAUUGGUCACUGUUCUACAUGUAUUUUCGUAUACAUAUUUUUGUAUUUUGUAGCUUCAUGAAAUGGAAGCUACAAAUGUAAUGAGCUACCUAGGGCAGUUGCCAUCCAUUGGAUAUUUAUUAAAGAAAAUCUCCAUUCUGAUUGCUCCAGAAAUUAUUUGCAUGAGGGCCAAAAUGAACCACGUGACUUGUAGAAUCUUCUAGUGUUGAAACUAGAAGUGGCCUUAGAGAUCAGCUAGUCCAGUGGCUUAAAAACUGUAGAAUGCACAGAACCAUCCAGAGAACACGUCAGAACACUGAUUUCUGGGUAUUGCUCCUACCAUUUAUGAUUUGGUAGGUCUGGCAUGGGCCCAGGAAUGUAUUUCUAAGCACUUUCAGGUGAUGUUGAUGCUGUCUGUGGACCACACUUUGAGGGGCAAUGAUCUAAUCUUAUUGACUCCUGUAUAAAUGGGUAGAUGGAGAAGCUAGGUGUGACCUUGACAAAGUAACACAGCCAAAGAGGAGACCUUGGUUCUCUCCACAGUCUGAUUAGCAGAGUCCUCUUAGACAGGUCACAUCUGAGUCCCUAAAACCUGAAGAUGACCAGCACAGGCACAAAAAUGUCUUAGCUGGAGACAUUCAAAUGUGUUGGCAAUACUAGUUUCACCUGAAACCUCAGCACAUAUGAAGAGAGAAGCAUUUCUUAUUCUGCUCAUUCCAAGCAGAGAGUUAAGAGUUUUGUUGAUGUUGUUUUUAGUCUUUCCUCUAAAUAAUAAAUCUCGGUGGCACUUUUAUUGCUGUGGCUAAAUGUUCUUUGGAAGUGAAAACAUUAUGUCAUCCUUCUGACAAUGCAAUGAGAAGGUUCUUUUCAUGGGGUCACUUUCAUAGUGUUCUAAUGAUGACAUAUUUCUCUAUAAACCUUUUAAAUAAGUUUUUUUUUUCAAUUAUUUUAAGGAGUGUGUUUUCCAGCAUCUGGAAAAAUCCUCUCCAAGCCCUCUCCACAACCAAAUAACACUAUCAAUAAAAGCAAGAUCUACAAGAUUUGGCUUCAACCAAGUUUUACCUUGUCUUGCACCAUCCUAGACUGCUGAGAACUAGCAUCAGAAUACUGUUUGCU